rnacentral:rRNA from 1 species
AUGUAUUGCGGGAAAAGCAAUGAUCCUACCAUUGUGCUUGAGGCCGUGGCAUCGCAAGACUUAUGGAUUUGGCAUGCAUAUUUUGGUUUGCCGGGAACACUCAAUGACAUCAAUGUGCUUCAAAGGCCCCCUUUAUUUGCAAGACUAGCUUCAGGUGAUGCUCCAACUUGCAAUUACAAGGUCAUGGACAAUGAGUACACAAUGGGAUACUAUCUCACCAAUGGCAUUUAUCCUGAGUGGGCAACACUUGUCAAGUCCAUUAAAGAGAAGAGAGGGAUGCCCUUACCCCAAAAAGAAGCUAAUUUCACGAGGGCACAAGAAUCAGCCCGCAAAGACAUUGAGAGAGCUUUUGGUGUUUUGCAAGCAAGAUUUGCCAUUGUUCGGGGUCCAACUCGUUUUUGGGACAAGAAAACCCUUGUGAACAUCAUGAAGUGUUGUGUCAUUCUACACAACAUGAUACUCGAGGAUGGGAGGGGGUUAAACUUGCCAUGUUUCUAUGACAAUGUUGGUACCCGAGUGCAACCGGAGAGGAACCCCGAUCGCAUUCAAGCUUUCCUUCAAACACGUCGGAAAUUGAAAAUGCCAACACUCAUACCCAGCUCCGCAAUGAUCUGGUCGAGCACCACUGGCAGCUGCUUGGCCGUCGCCAAUGAUGGACUAUUUGAUUCAAACAUGUCCUAUUUGAUUCCAUGUCUAUUUGUGAUACAAACAUUGUUGUAA